UCCCGCAACGAGCGCAACCCUUGUCUUUAAUUGCCAUCAUUUAGUUGGGCGACUUUAAGGAGACUGCCGGUGUUAAGCCGGAGGAAGGUGGGGAUGACGUCAAGUCCUCAUGGCCUUUAUGCCCAGGGCUACACACGUGCUACAAUGGGCGGUACAAAGAGAAGCAACCUCGCGAGGGUGAGCAAAUCUCAAAAAGCCGUUCUCAGUUCGGAUUGAAGUCUGCAACUCGACUUCAUGAAGUCGGAAUCGCUAGUAAUCGCGGAUCAGCAUGCCGCGGUGAAUACGUUCCCGGGUCUU
rnacentral:rRNA from 1 species